rnacentral:rRNA from 1 species
CACCAGACUCCUACGGGAGGCAGCAGUGGGGAAUAUUGCACAAUGGGGGAAACCCUGAUGCAGCGACGCCGCGUGAGCGAUGAAGUAUUUCGGUAUGUAAAGCUCUCUCAGCAGGGAAGAAAAUGACGGUACCUGACUAAGAAGCCCCGGCUAACUACGUGCCAGCAGCCGCGGUAAUACGUAGGGGGCAAGCGUUAUCCGGAUUUACUGGGUGUAAAGGGAGCGUAGACGGCAUGGCAAGCCAGAUGUGAAAUACCGGGGCUCAACCCCGGGACUGCAUUUGGAACUGUUAAGCUGGAGUGUCGGAGAGGCAGGCGGAAUUCCUGGUGUAGCGGUGAAAUCCGUAGAUAUCUGGAGGAACAUCAGUGGCGAAGGCGACUAUCUGGCACAUAACUGACGCUGAGGAGCGAAAGCGUGGGUAGCAAACAGGAUUAGAUACCCGGGUA